CAUCCUUUGUGUCGUUAAUUUCCUCUACUGUUUAGCUUUGGUAAGCCUCUGAUCCUAAUUUCCUUUCUGCGACUUAUAUGCUUUUUCAAUUUCUGCGUUUGAUUUCUCGUCUGCACUUUGGUAGGUUUUUGCAUCUGCUCCAGUCUAUGUGCUUUCUGGGCUUCUUUUGAUCUGUCUUGAGUUUCCCUUUUUUGGCGUCUGUAAUGAGCUUUUGACCUUGGCUUAUCCUCCAUUGUUGGGGUCUCUAAGUGUUUCUGCUUUGAACCGAGUCAUCCUUGGACCAAGUCCCAUGAUGAAAUUGGUAUGGGUUGCCGUCUAGGAUUGAAAUCAUUAGCAAUAGGAUUUUUUCCUCAGGCCCUUCUGUUGCUGAGAUAGGUUCGAGGCAGUAGGAGGGUAUGAUAGCUUUACCUUAGAAAAUAGUAAGUAGUCUUAGUGGGUCAAAGCUUGGUGCUCAUAGUGAGCUCGUUUGACUUUGCUCCCUAAAGCUCGUCAUAAUUGUCUAUCUGAGCUCGUUCUAACCGACUUCUUUCUGUUUUCAGAACAUGGAGCGCAAAACGGCCACCUUAACAUCGAGGAAGGUUGCUGAUCUAGUUGCCUACAAGCCUAUCUACUAGCACGUAAUCCCGCACAAGGCCGAAGAGCUCUAUAGGAUCAUGCUCCCUCCUUUGCAUAUUGAGGGUCGGGCCCUGCAGCGCGAUUACUUCAGCUCGGAAGGGUCUGACGCCAAGCUCAACGCGAACCUUCCCCUCGCUUGAGUUGGAGGCUUGAAAGAAACUUCUGAUCAUUUUUGAUAUAUUCAAUUUUUUGUGCCCAUUAAGGAACGAAUCACUAUUCAUUUGAAAAGGAUGUGGGUACCAUUUGUCGGACAUGCGAGAUGAUGCGACGACGUUAUAUUCAUUAUAUUAAUGAGAGAUGAUGUGACGACGUAUUCCAAGAGGGCUGUCUGGCUUGCUUGAAGGAGCUAGGGUAUCCCUCUUGAGCACCGGGCUUGGAGUGAGGUCCCAGAGAAGACCUUUGAGGUGAUCGGCGAGCUCGGUCAAGAAGCAACAGAGGUUGGUGCUGCUGCUAAAGAGGAUUCUCCUAACUUGUCUCUGGAUUUAUAUUAGUUUUCUUCUAUAUUUGAAUAAUUUUGUACUUGAAUAAUUUUUUGUAAUAAAUGCAUUUUCUUUCUGAAUCUCGUUAGCAUUUUAUCUUUUGUUUUAAUGCUUUCAAUUUUUGGUCAUUGUCCAAGUGUACUUGGGUAAUAUUUACAAGAGAGAAUUCAGAGCUCACACAAAGCUCGACUAACUCUUUCUUGAAAUUUUUGUUAAGUGUCUUGUAGGGUCCUUCUCAAUUUGGGUCGAGCUUCAUGCCUGCAGGGUCCUUGGUGUUUCCAACAACUUUUCUCAGAACGAGGUCUCCAAUUGAAAAUUGUUUGUGUUGCACCUUCUGAUUGUAAAUCUUGGCUAACCGCUUCUAAUAAUCAGCUAGUUGUAUCAGUGUGUGUUUUUUUCGUUUGUCAGCAAGGUCAAGGUCAUAAGAUAAAAAUUUUUCAUUGUGUCUGAUAUCGUAUGCCUUGGUUCGUAUUAUGGGCAGAUAGACCUUCAGCGAGAUUACAACUUUGAAUUCGAAAGCCAGAGCACAAGGCAUUUUGUUUGUUGCCUUUUGUGGUGUGGUCCGAUAGGCCCAUAAAACGUUUGGCAGUUCCUCGACCCAUGUCAUAUAAAAUUCAAAAUUGGAUCCAUCCAGCUCGGCCUCAGCUCAGUGUUGACUAGGAUGGAUUCUUGAGGCAUUUCGUGAUUGUAGGACGAGAUUAGAUCAAUUGCUAUAGUCUGUGCCCUAUCUCUCCUUCAAAAACUGAUGCCAAGUCUAGCAGUGCAUCUGUGUGUGAAUUUAAGUCUCUCCUCACUUGCUCAUUUUUGAUCGCUUUAAAUUUGGUAAGGAGGGCUUUUGCUAGUGCCAAAUACUUAGCCAUCUUGACUCUCCGUGCUUCAAACUUUCCCGUGGCUUGACCACUAGUUUUGAGUCAUUGAAAAUAUGGAGUUCAGAAACCUUUAGUUUGGAUGCAGACUGAAGUCUCGUAAUGAAGGUUUCGUAUUAAGCUUCAUUGUUUAUUGCAGAAAAAUUUAGCCUGAGUCAUUUUUCCAAAAUUGCUCCUUCUGGGCUUUUUCAGACUACUCCAUCCCUUUCCCCUAGGCUUUUUUUUGCUCUGUCAACAAACAUUUUCCACGCCGAGGUAAAAUCGAGCUAAGAUGGCUCUACAAUAACCUCUAGAACUUCUCAGUAAUUUCUUCAGCGAUGGUUGCUUCUGCAAUUCUAGGCAAUUCUUUAAUAACCUAGUGAUCCUCUUGUGCUGAUUGGAUUCCAACUGACUUUGCCUCUGAGCUCUCGUCCCCCCUUUGUGCAGACGUAGGGUCACCUUGCUCUUGACUCACAACUCGGGGAGAGAACUCUCCUCCCCCUAUGUCUGAUUUUCCCAUUUCAACGGCCCAUUUGGAAAGUCGGCUAGACUUGUCCGUAU
rnacentral:lncRNA from 1 species